rnacentral:rRNA from 1 species
GACGAACGCUGGCGGCAUGCCUAAUACAUGCAAGUCGAACGCGGAAUCACUCUGCUUGCAGAGUGCGGAUGAGUGGCGAACGGGUGAGUAACACGGGGGAAAUCUGCCUAUAAGAGGGGGAUAACAUUCGGAAACGGAUGCUAAUACCGCAUAUAUUCUUGGACCGCCUGGUCCUUGAAAGAAAGACGGCUUUGCUGUCGCUUAUAGAUGAUCCCGCGGCGUAUUAGUUAGUUGGUGGGGUAAAGGCCUACCAAGACAAUGAUACGUAGCCGACCUGAGAGGGUGAUCGGACACACUGGGACUGAGACACGGCCCAGACUCCUACGGGAGGAAGCAGUAGGGAAUCUUACACAAUGGGCGAAAGCCUGAUGGAGCAAUGCCGCGUGAAUGAAGAAGGUCUUCGGAUCGUAAAGUUAUGUUAUUAGAGAAGAACAAGUCAAGGAGUAACUGUCUUGAUUUUGACGGUACCUAACCAGAAAGUCACGGCUAACUACGUG